rnacentral:rRNA from 1 species
GAUGAACGCUAGCGGCAGGCCUAAUACAUGCAAGUCGAACGGUAAGGCCCUUUCGGGGGUACACGAGUGGCGGACGGGUGCGUAACGCGUAUGCAACAUACCUUCAAGCGGGGGAUAUGCCAGGGAAACUUGGUGCAACACCCCAUAGCAUUUCGGGACCGCAUGGUCUUGGGAUUAAAUAUUUAUAGCUUGGAGAUUGGCAUGCGUGACAUUAGCUAGUUGGCGGGGUAACGGCCCACCAAGGCGACGAUGUCUAGCUGGUCUGAGAGGAUGAUCAGCCACACUGGGACUGGGACACGGCCCAGACUCCUACGGGAGGCAGCAGUAGGGAAUAUUGGACAAUGGGGGGAACCCUGAUCCAGCCAUGCCGCGUGAGGGAAGAAGGUCCUCUGGAUUGUAAACCUCUUUUGGCGGGGGACAAACCUGCACUAUACGUGCAGCUGAGGGUACCCGCAGAAUAAGCACCGGCUAACUCCGUGCCAGCAGCCGCGGUAAU